rnacentral:rRNA from 1 species
AUUGAACGCUGGCGGAAUGCUUUACACAUGCAAGUCGAACGGCAGCACGGACUUCGGUCUGGUGGCGAGUGGCGAACGGGUGAGUAAUGUAUCGGAACGUGCCCAGUCGUGGGGGAUAACGUAGUGAAAAUUACGCUAAUACCGCAUACGAUCUAUGGAUGAAAGCGGGGGAUCGCAAGACCUUGCGCGAUUGGAGCGGCCGAUAUCAGAUUAGGUAGUUGGUGGGGUAAAGGCCCACCAAGCCAACGAUCUGUAGCUGGUCUGAGAGGACGCCCAGCCACACUGGAACUGGGACACGGUCAAGACUCCUCCGGGAGGCAGCAGUGGGGAAUUUUGGACAAUGGGCGAAAGCCUGAUCCAGCCAUUCCGCUUGCAGGAGAAAGGCCCUCGGGUUGUAAACUGCUUUUGUACAGAACGAAAAGGUUUCUACUAAUACUAGGAGCUCAUGACGGUACUGUAAGAAUAAGCACCGGCUAACUACGUGCCAGCCGCCGCCGUAA